GCUGCGGCAGCGAACGUAUCACCCAAGACAACUUUACGGAGUUGACGAUUGACGGAGCGAAGCGACGUCAAAGCGUUCAUUAAAGUCGAGUUGGCUUAGGGAUACGUUCGUUGGGUAGGGGAGCGUUCUGUAAGCCUGUGAAGGUGUGUCGUGAGGCAUGCUGGAGGUAUCAGAAGUGCGAAUGCUGACAUAAGUAACGAUAAAGCGGGUGAAAAGCCCGCUCGCCGGAAGACCAAGGGUUCCUGUCCAACGUUAAUCGGGGCAGGGUGAGUCGACCCCUAAGGCGAGGCCGAAAGGCGUAGUCGAUGGGAAACGGGUUAAUAUUCCCGUACUUGGUGUUACUGCGAAGGGGGGACGGAGAAGGCUAUGUUGGCCGGGCGACGGUUGUCCCGGUUUAAGCGUGUAGGUGUGUGUUCCAGGUAAAUCCGGUUCACUUUAACACUGAGGCGUGACGACGAGGCACUACGGUGCUGAAGCAACAAAUGCCCUGCUUCCAGGAAAAGCCUCUAAGCAUCAGGUAACAUCAAAUCGUACCCCAAACCGACACAGGUGGUCAGGUAGAGAAUACCAAGGCGCUUGAGAGAACUCGGGUGAAGGAACUAGGCAAAAUGGUGCCGUAACUUCGGGAGAAGGCACGCUGACACGUAGGUGAAGUGAUUUACUCAUGGAGCUGAAGUCAGUCGAAGAUACCAGCUGGCUGCAACUGUUUAUUAAAAACACAGCACUGUGCAAACACGAAAGUGGACGUAUACGGUGUGACGCCUGCCCGGUGCCGGAAGGUUAAUUGAUGGGGUCAGCGCAAGCGAAGCUCCUGAUCGAAGCCCCGGUAAACGGCGGCCGUAACUAUAACGGUCCUAAGGUAGCGAAAUUCCUUGUCGGGUAAGUUCCGACCUGCACGAAUGGCGUAAUGAUGGCCAGGCUGUCUCCACCCGAGACUCAGUGAAAUUGAACUCGCUGUGAAGAUGCAGUGUACCCGCGGCAAGACGGAAAGACCCCGUGAACCUUUACUAUAGCUUGACACUGAACAUUGAGCCUUGAUGUGUAGGAUAGGUGGGAGGCUUUGAAGUGUGGACGCCAGUCUGCAUGGAGCCGACCUUGAAAUACCACCCUUUAAUGUUUGAUGUUCUAACGUGGACCCGUAAUCCGGGUUGCGGACAGUGUCUGGUGGGUAGUUUGACUGGGGCGGUCUCCUCCUAAAGAGUAACGGAGGAGCACGAAGGUUGGCUAAUCCUGGUCGGACAUCAGGAGGUUAGUGCAAUGGCAUAAGCCAGCUUGACUGCGAGCGUGACGGCGCGAGCAGGUGCGAAAGCAGGUCAUAGUGAUCCGGUGGUUCUGAAUGGAAGGGCCAUCGCUCAACGGAUAAAAGGUACUCCGGGGAUAACAGGCUGAUACCGCCCAAGAGUUCAUAUCGACGGCGGUGUUUGGCACCUCGAUGUCGGCUCAUCACAUCCUGGGGCUGAAGUAGGUCCCAAGGGUAUGGCUGUUCGCCAUUUAAAGUGGUACGCGAGCUGGGUUUAGAACGUCGUGAGACAGUUCGGUCCCUAUCUGCCGUGGGCGCUGGAGAACUGAGGGGGGCUGCUCCUAGUACGAGAGGACCGGAGUGGACGCAUCACUGGUGUUCGGGUUGUCAUGCCAAUGGCACUGCCCGGUAGCUAAAUGCGGAAGAGAUAAGUGCUGAAAGCAUCUAAGCACGAAACUUGCCCCGA
rnacentral:rRNA from 1 species